rnacentral:rRNA from 2 species
GAUUUCUGGCUUGACAAGACUGGCCCGCUACACCAGUAGUGAGUGUCGGCUCUUGUCUGCCAUCCUUCCACAGAACGUUUCUACCCUUUACUGGGCCGGAUUCGCAAUGUGGAACUUUUACUUUGAAAAAAUUAGAGUGUUCAAAGCAGGCUUGCGCUAUGAAUACAUUAGCAUGGAAUAAUAAUUUAGGACUUCGGUUCUAUUUUGUUGGUUUUCAGGACUGAGUAAUGAUUGAUAGGGAUAGUUGGGGGUGCUAGUAUUCAGCGGCCAGAGGUGAAAUUCUUGGAUUCGCUGAAGACUAACUUAUGCGAAAGCAUU